rnacentral:rRNA from 1 species
UACGAGGGGGGCGAGCGUUGUUCGGAAUCAUUGGGCGUAAAGAGCGUGUAGGCGGCUUGGUAAGUCCGCUGUGAAAGUCCAGGGCUCAACCCUGGAAUGCCGGUGGAAACUGUCAAGCUUGAGUCCGGAAAAGGCGAGUGGAAUUCCUGGUGUAGCGGUGAAAUGCGCAGAUAUCAGGAGGAACACCAAUGGCGAAGGCAGCUCGCUGGGACGGUACUGACGCUGAGACGCGAAAGCGUGGGGAGCAAACAGG